rnacentral:lncRNA from 1 species
GUUGUGUCUGGCUAAUUCCCUGGAAAGAAAGAGGCUAACUGCUCCGGGGACUAGGGACUUUGGUGAGACAAGGUGAGAGGGGGAAAAAGGCCCAUAUCUUUACGUUCUCCCUCGGACUUGGCCAGAGAAGAACCACAGUCACCUUGCACUCCAGACAGCCAGAAAGCAGCGAGUCGGAAUGUUGCUUGCCUCCCUCUUAUCCCAGCCGGUUUUUAGCCAUCGCUAAGCCUAGGGCGAGGUUUCGGUCCGGUUUCAGCGUUUCUCCUCUACCUAGCCCCCUGAGGACCCCAGAUUUCUCGCGGUACAGAUCCAGAGAGGGUGGGCGAGCCGGGCACUCCCGCCUUUCCUCUGCACAGCGCCCAGCGAUCCGCUCGGCUCGGCCCUGACAGGCGUAAUCUGCCCGGCGUCACCUCCAGCUGCUUCCUCGUUCUCGCUAGUUCCCUCUCGCACGCGAGCGCCAGGAGAAGAGAGAGAUUCGGAGAGGCGGCUGCACGGCUCCGGGGAGACGAGCGGCGGUUUUGCCUCAGUGCUUUUCCCCGGGGUUCCCCCAGAUCUGUGACCCUGCGACGCUUCCUUGAGCGAAAGCGCGCUUUGGGUCGUGUCCUCGUUGGCUCUCUACGGAGCUGGGAUUGUUGUAACCGCAAAGGAGGCAGAAAUGAGGGGAGACCUCUUAGACCAUGGAGGAAUUACAGUUUCCUCAUCCAGCCCUGGGCCCCAUCAAAGUACCACACCUGGCCACAGCUACCCAGUGCCACCGGCAGAGAAAAGGACCCCGCGUCCCUUUUGCUAUGCGCUCGCUCCUCGCUUUGGCCCCCUUGGUGAUGGGAAAAGAAGGCCUCCUGAUUAAUCACGUUUGAAGGUUGAUGACACGCACGAGCGCCGCUGCACGCGCAUGGGGCACCCGAGCACAGAGGUGCCCGGAAGGGGCGGACCAGCCCCCCUUGCCCUGGCCCGCUCCCCCUUCGAUUUCACGCGCUUUAAGGAUUCUCCCUUUGCAAUAUUUAGGCGUAGUUAAAAGAACCGCUGCGUUGGGAGAAGCCCCUCGCCGUAAAAAUGCGUUGAAAGAGAAAUUCCCACCAGAGGGCGCCAAGAGCCCAGAGACGGAGAGGCCCUGCGCUCCCGGGUCUCUCCGCCAGCGCCCGAGCGGAGCCCACACCUGGAGCUGCUGGCCAGACGGUUACGCGCCGGCUUGCCUCUUCAUGCCUUCCCUCACCGCCCUGUCACUAGUUUAAGUUCUCCCCUUUCUUCUCCCCCAGUUUUUUUCUUUAGGGCAAAAAUGUUGAUGUCUGUGCGUGUCUGGGUGACACCGUGUAGGCAGUGAUUCCUUUACUGGUAUUUACCGUGGUCCUCCCCCUCUCCCCAGGUGGUGCAGCACGCAGGGGUUAUUUAUGCGCACGUCUGGGGCCUCACUGGUUCAGCGGAGGCCCGUCCGUUUUCUUUGAAUGCCUUAUCGCCUUUCACCACAACACAAUGGAAACACACACAAAAAUAUUAUAAAUUACCGAGAGUUCCAUAAGGGAGAUCGAAGGGUCCGCCCUGGGCAGACAUGGCCUGAUCAGCAAGAGGGAUCUCGCUGUGGGGUUUGAAAUAAUCGCGUUGCCUUUGGUACUAAAGAAACUACUGUUUUGUCGCCUUGUCUCCACCUGACGAUGAAAUCCCCGGCACUUUUUAAGGACACAAAAAACAUCCUAAACGGCGGGGCGCGCGGUGACUGCAGCCCCGGGCACUGAGGCUUGGGGCUGGACAGGCUGGGGGUGUCUGCUCCACGUAGGAAACGUCCCCCCAAACCACUCAACCGGCAGCUGCUCUGCGCUGCUUGAAGUGGGCGGCAUACAACCAGGUGAAGCUCGGAAUUCCAUCCACCGGCCCUCCUAGAGCCUUCCCUAAACGAGACGCUCGCACCAAUCAGGGAGCCAGGUGCCAGUGCUAAAUCAUUCAAGACGCACGGGGCAGGAGACAGGAAGGAGGAGGCAACACAUCUCCCGGUGCCCCUCGUUCUUCAUUGUCCAGCAUAGACGCCCGCUCGCCUCAACCUUUUCCCAAAACCCGUGAUUCCCUGGAAAGGAAGAUUCGUUUACUUCACCUGUGGCACGAGAUUGAGACAUUUCCAACCACUUCCUCCUUUGACCCCAGAGUUCAAAACACCCCUAACGUUUUAGCCAAUGAAAUAAUCUCGUUGGAGAAGGAAUCUCCUGCAAGGCUAGGUAACGCAAGCUGAAGCUGAGUCCGUCCAGCUUCGAGGACAUCCCUCUCUUUCUCCUUUAUGGUGAGUAGGGGAGGAAUGAAGACUUUUGUCCGUCCUUGUUUAGAAUGUUUAAUUGAAUAUUAGCAGUAAUUGAUUAAACGAAUAUUUAUUAAUCCCCUACUAUGUGCCAAGCACUUAUUUUUUGGAGCUUGCAUUGUCCCUGCGGUUUAUAUUAUCCUGCACGCCGGGAGUGGACAUUCCGGUGAGGCAGGGAGAGGAGCGCACUUAGAAACUUCAUAAAUUUGAUUUAAUUUUCAAUGAUCUCCUCCAACUCGAACUCUUGGGCACAGCAGGAAUGGUAAUGAAUUGAAGGCCUGGAAUUCCACUCCAUCCAGAUUACUGAGUUUUGAGGUAGGGCAUAGAUCUUUCAGCACGAAGGACAGCGCCCGUCCUUCUGGUCCCCAUGCCUCUGUUUCGUUUGCUUCCGCCAAUAGCUAUGGGCCAACCCACCAGACUCGCCCCAGCCCUCCUCCCUCCUGACAGUAACUGCUGUUUGUUUUGCCUAGUUGGGGGGUGAGGUAUUUCGCCCACUGCUCUUCUCUCCGGUAGGAAUUUGAACUAAGAGUGGCCGUGGUUGUCAUUCGGCUCUAAACAACAUUUGAAACCUAUAUUUUUGUUUAUGUCUUUCACUCUUCCUUUAAUCUUUUAUCAUUCCUGGGGGAGGAUUCUUGGGAUAAUGGGGGUGGAAAAAAGAUAUCCUCUCCGGGGACUCGAACCGGUGAUGAGGGGUGGCCCGGAAGGGAGUGGUGUCCGCCCAGCUGUUUCGAUUGUAUUUGAAGCGCUUUGAAGAAAUGGGAACGCGGCGCUCAAAGGCAGAAGAAGGAGGGGGCGAUAUGCGACCCCUCCAGUCUCUCUCCGGCAUUAGGGAUUUGCGAGCUUGCAGCCCCGGCUACUCCACCCUGUCUGCCGAGGAUAACGUUUCCUUAGGUCAACCACCGCUGGGACUUGGGAACACGACCCUCCGCCCACAAUGCCCUUUAUUCCUUUCCCCGUCGUGGGUGGGUGGGGGAUUGUUUAAAGAUAUUCCAACCGGAUUUGGGGCCAAGCCUUUUCUGCAAAGGGAAAAACGGGUGAGUAGGAGGAGCGUGAGGCGUUGAAGGAGCGCCCAAACGGGCUGCGGGGAGAUCUUCACGCCUAAAACGUGGUCAGUCAAGUUGUGAGCUAAGAGAAGGUGGCUUUCGAUGAGGAUGUUGUCUGCUGAUUUAAAUACUCUGUCCCCCCACUGGGUGCCGUGGCUCACACCUGUAAUCCCAGCACUUUGGGAGGAUGAGAUGAGCGGAUCAUCUGAGGUCAGGUGUUUGAGACCAGUCUGACCGAAUGGUGAAACCCCACCUCUACUAAAAAUGCAAAAAUUAGCCAGGCAUGGUGGCACGCACUUGUAAUCCCAGCUACUUGGGAGGCUGAGGCAGGAGACUCGCUUGAACCUGGGAGGCGGAGGUUGCAGUGAGCUGAGAUGACUCCAUUGCACUUCACCCUGGGCAACACAGCAAGACUCCAUCUCAAAAAAAAAAAAAAAAAAAAAAACAACACUCUGCUCCCAACUUUAUUUGGGUUCUUCUGAUGCCAAUUGGAAGAAACUGAAUUUGAUGCAUGUUUUGAUGGGAAAGAGAUUUUCCUCUUAACAUAUUAUCCAGUGGUAGGCAUGGAACUGUGAAAUCUAUCAUCUUAAAGAAUAGUCACUUUCAAGCAAGUCCUUUUACAGAAGAACAUUUUAGAACUUUAUUAGAGAUGAAGAUACAUUAGGGACCUGAGAGCAUGGGACACCAAAAGCCUUGUUACAAAAUAGCUGAAGUAUUAAAAAGCGGGGAGAGGAGUUUAUGAAAAUUCAGUAUUAAAAUAUAUGUUGUUGUGCAGCAACAGGAACUACAUAAUAAAUCCUAAGAAAACAGGGACUUUGGGGGCUAUUUGUGAUGGAUUGCAAUUAACCCUGCUUAAAUAUCCAAUUAGGCAUCAGGGUAAGCAAUUUGUAAAUGUACUAACUGGUUAAUAUUUUAUGAAAAUCAGCAAAUUUCUAUCUCAGGUGACUUUUUUUUUUCCUGUACUUAAUGAACUAUUUAUUGGCUUAUUUAUUAGUAUUUAUCCUCAUUAAAAGCUUCCAUCACACCAGAAAGGAUACUAAGGCCUGCUAAAACACCUCACAUAGUUGGCACUCCAUGAAUGUUGAUUUCCUUCCUCAUGUUCACUUUUCUGAUUCUAAGGUCAAUUUUACCUUAAUUCUCUUUUGAAGUUUUUUUCUUUUGAAAAAAUGUACAUCUUUUUUCUUUUAACGUUAUAUAUGAUUGCUAAAGAAAGCUUAUGACUUUAGAAUGAUGAAAAAGGAAAUAACCUCAUUACACAAACACUACGAUGGUUAGCAUUUUCAGUAACCCCCCCCAAUCCCAUAUUUUCCCCUACCCCAUGUAUAGGCUUAAUUUAAAAGGUUUUAGCCUCCAACAGAUAUUUGUACACCUGUGUUCAUAGCAGCAUUAUGCACCAUAACCAAAAGGUGAAAGCCACCCAAAUGUCCAUCAGUGGAUGAAUAGAUGAACAAAAGGUGGCAUAUGCAUACAGUGGAAUAUUAUUUAGCAGUAAAAGGAAUAAAGUAUUGACAUAUGCUAUGACAUGCAUGAACCUUGAAGACUUUAUGCUAAGUGAAAUAAGCCAGUCACAAAAUGACAUAUAUGAUUCCUUUUAUACGCAGUACCUAGAGUAGUCAAAUUCAUCAAAGCAAAAAGUAGAAUGGUGGCUAGUGGGAGUGGGAAAUGAGGAGUUAUUGUUUAAUGAGGACAGAGUUUCAGUUGGGAAGAUGAAGCAGUUUCUGAGAUGGGUGCUGGUGAUGGUUACACAGCAAUGUAAAUGUGCGUAAUACCACUGAAGUAUACACUUGAAAAUGCUUAAAAUGAUAAAUUGCAUGCUGUGUAUGGUUUACAAUAAAAAAGCUUUUAGUUAUAAAAGUGAUACAUGCCCAUGAUUUUAAAAUUUUAAGGGAAUAAAUAAAAGGUGUAAAAUGAAAAGUACAACUUUUCUUACUUACCUCCCCUCAAUUGCACAACCCAGAGAUAACCAUCGUAACAAGUUUCAUGUUUCUGCUUUUCCUGACUGACAGAAGGACC